rnacentral:ncRNA from 2 species
CGUUCCGAGGAGCGUUGCGACAGAGAGGUCCCUCUCUGCCAGGCUCGGAUAUCCAAGCAACUGCGCUCACGUUAC